rnacentral:rRNA from 1 species
GACGAACGCUGGCGGCGUGCCUAAUACAUGCAAGUAGAACGCUGAAGGAGGAGCUUGCUCUUCUGGAUGAGUUGCGAACGGGUGAGUAACGCGUAGGUAACCUGCCUGGUAGCGGGGGAUAACUAUUGGAAACGAUAGCUAAUACCGCAUAAGAGUAGAUGUUGCAUGACAUUUGCUUAAAAGGUGCAAUUGCACCACUACCAGAUGGACCUGCGUUGUAUUAGCUAGUUGGUGGGGUAACGGCUCACCAAGGCGACGAUACAUAGCCGACCUGAGAGGGUGAUCGGCCACACUGGGACUGAGACACGGCCCAGACUCCUACGGGAGGCAGCAGUAAGGAAUCUUCGGCAAUGGACGGAAGUCUGACCGAGCAACGCCGCGUGAGUGAAGAAGGUUUUCGGAUCGUAAAGCUCUGUUGUAAGAGAAGAACGAGUGUGAGAGUGGAAAGUUCACACUGUGACG